GGGACUCCGGCGCUCCGACUUGAAGGGCAGGGACGCGCACAAGUCGAAUGGUUCGUCUCCGGAGGGCAGCGCCUCCCUCAUUGGUCACUCGGCCCCCUUACGUCAUAGCCGGCAGCGCGCGCUGCCCGUGCCCGCCCCCCUUUUCCCCCCCUCCCGUUUUUCCCCACACGCGCGGGUGUGGAAGAAACGCGCGCGGGUGGGGAAAAGGGGAGCGUCUGCCCUCAUCCCCCCAUCCCCCCUUUCCCCCAAAUUAAACAUUCUCCCACUACACGACCCCCUCCAUCCACCCACCCACCCGCGCCUCCUUGCGCGGUAUUUUCGCUGCGGCGAAGAGACGCGCAGCGCAUUUUUCCCCACUGAACGCAGCAGCAGCAGCAGCUCCCGUAAUGGCUUUCAAAUAUAUGCAAAUGGCUACGUGCGGUUGGCGGUUUUGGCAAAAAGCUUGAUUAGGAUAUAAACGACCCAAGGAAAAAAAAAAAAGUGCCUGCGCCCUAAAUUUGUCUUUAGAUUACAAUUCCAGUUGAUUUUAUUUUAUUGUCAACAUUGUUAAUGAUAAAAAUAGAGUCGUUUUACAGUUAUUUUUACUUUCUGGAAGGAGGCAAUUAGACUUCUAAUCAGGAAUACACAAAAAUCUCCCAUGAUUAACUGCAGUACUUUGUUCAAAUUGCUGCUAUAAAAUUCAGAACAAUUUGCCUGUAAUGAUUAUGGACUGGGUUUAUUUUGGGAGGUGGAAUAAAAGUGGAUAUAGCAUAAAUUAUCCUCUAAUUAUACACCAGUGUCGCCUCAAUUAUCCUCUUAUCAAAAUGGUUGUCUAACUGCCGCAUUUAGUUUCAAUUCUCUCCUUUUUUCUAUAAAAAGAACUUCAUACCUUGUUAUUAUUAAUCCAUUUAUUAUUUGCAAGGGGAUUUAUAUCUGAACAUCCAGGUGGUAUCACCACUUCUCUUUCAAAGAUGGACUAGGGAAAGACAUUAAGUUUGAUCCAGCUCGGCGAAGGAUCUCUCUCUCUUCUCUCUUCUCUCUCCCCCCUCUCUCUCCUCUCUCUCUCUCAACCCCUCUCUGUUUUUUACCCCUUUGCCUCGCUUAAAUCUCCUUGCGUCCAGCUAAGCAUGAACUCCAGAGACAGACCCCACCGGAGAGGACUGAGACUUCUUUCCUGAGGCCCAAGCUCUUUGUAGAUUACUUCAGUGGUCUUUUUAAUAUCAAAAGGAAAACUAAAGUUUUCAGAGACCGGACAUCGCAGUGAUCCUACAUCUAAACAAUGGUGUGUCUGAUGUUAAACCAACAUUGUAAUCCAACUUCCCCAGAAGUUUCAGAGCUUGUUGUAAAAUGCUAUUUAGCUGUAAAAGCAGCAAUGGAGCUUUUUGUUCUAACCAUGCAAAGAAAAACUGCUUUUAGUCACAUUGUUUUGAAUGGAUUUACUCUCUGUUUUUGCUGAUGUAACUGGCCUAGCAAGCUUCUGGAAGAUAUAGCAUGCUACAAAAUGGAAGAGGGGAGGAUGCUAACAGUUACUAAUUGUUAUUUGAUAGAAGCAGAAAGUAUCUGAUGAUAUAUUAUGGUCCUAAUUAUUUAAAAAAAAACACUGAGGCACAUAUGGAGUUCAAAGCAUAUAUGGUGGCAGUAUUUUCAUGAUUAUUCUAUUAAUAUUUGCUAAACUGAGAUAAAUUCCAUUUCUUCACUCUAUUCUACCUUGGGUUUGUAUCUAACAAGUAAGGGCUUCUCUCUGUUUAGCAACUUGCAGUUUUGCAAGAUAAGUUGCAUUUUAGACACUUUCUAAAUAUUUGAUAAAAUUUUUAUUUCAUAAUAUCCCUUAAGGUAAGAUUAAACAGUGACAAUCCACCUCCUCAGAACACAGUUCUUAACAAGCAAUUUUCUUAAUGAGACAUACCACAGGCAGAUGAGAAAAUGUUGCCUCUGGUAAAUUUGCAUACAUUCAUACUCAUAGAAUAUGAUCAAUUUGUCUGCUUAUAUAUUUUUACACUGUCUCCAGUUAUUCUUAUAUAAAAAAAAAAUCUGGUUUUAGCUAAGGCAUAUCUUUCUCUUGGACUUAAGAGAUCAUAAAAUAUAUCUGGUACAUCCCUGGAAAGAUUUUUCCAACUCAUAAAUAUCUUUAUUGUUAGAAAGACAAUUUACUUUCAGUCUGUGUGGCUUAGGUUUCCAGCCCUUGGUUCUCCUGCUAGAUGGAAGGGUUCUUUCUUACCUGGUAUUUCUCUGCUGUGAAUCUCUUAUGUGUACAACUCACCUCUUCCCGUCUUCCUCCUGAUAAAAUCAACAUGGAACUCUCUAUAUUUUUGUUGGAUUUUUGUUCACAGCAAGGAAUUCUUCUUUGAAUAACUUUAUGGCUCUUUCCUGUACCAUUCCUGGUUCUGUUUGAUUGUCCAGUUUUCAUCAUUUUAUGGCACCCUGCCAAACUCAUGUCAUUCAGAGAUUGUAUUUAGGGACGUGUUUACAAGACCAUUGGUGAAGGUGCUAAGGAAUAUGAAGCCUCGUACGGAAGUCAAGGAAACGUUGGGAACAUUCAUUCAAUUACAAAUCCUAGCUGAUGCCUAUUUUUUUGAGAUCUGUCAGCCAGUUUUUAAUUGAUUUGAUAUGUGUUUUAUUGCUAUUACAAAAUGCUAAAAUCAUAAUAGUAUGUCAUUUCAUGUGAAUAUUAAUCUAACCCUUCCAAGGAAUCCUUGUUCCUUCUGUACUACUGUAGUACCAGAGUGCCUUCCACAUAGAACAAAUACCAUUAAAGAAGUCCCAUUGCAGGGGCUUGAUAGUAUACCUGGCAUUUUCUCUAUGUCAGGAUUUAACAGCAAAUAGUUUAUUUGACUAUAGCGCACAUUAUGUUACUGGUUGAAUAACUACUCGAUUAAGCUCAUAUCAAUAAAGAAUCUGCUGGUGUAAAUGCUUAACUGCAUAUAUCCAUUGUGAGUUACCUUCCAGUCUUCACUUUGAUUUGUACUAAAUAUUAUAGCAUACAUCCAGAAAGCAUAAAAAGAAAAGCCAUUAAUGACAUACACACAAAGACAGUAUUACAUUUGAAAUUGGGACUCCAGAAUUCAAAGUAUGAUGAGUUUAGUGUCUCAUGCUAAAAGCUGAUCCAUUGUAAGUGCUAAAACCAGCAUAUAUACUAUUGAAAUCAGGAACCUAUGUUGUUGGUAUCCUCCAAGUUGCAUAAUUGAAUGAGACGUGCGUAACCAAUUUAACUAUAAUGCAAUGACAGGGAAAUUAGCUUCUACAAGCGUUGACUAUUCAGUAUGUUUAAUGUACCUAAAGCCCUGAAAUACAUGUAUUUAUUACCAAAUCCUGUGGAUAAACAGAAGUAAAUAGGCCCUGAGAAAACCUGGUGCUAACAAUAUUCUGUGGUUGGCAUUCAAGUUAAGUUGUUUUCAGUGCAACUACUAUGGAGUAUUUAUACCUAAAGUCUGAAAGACACUAAAUAUAAGGCUAAGCAAUGUCCUAUAGCUAAUAUAUAUGAAUACUAGCAACAUGUAUAGCAUAAAUAUGCCUAAGCAAUUAGUAUAACAGUGUUAGGUAAGUGCAAAAGGAACUGAGAGGAGUUAGACGUUCACAAGGUAAAGGUCUGUGUGUGUCCAUGAGCUUGUUGGGGCUGUUUCAAGUUUUCUGUCCUUCAGAUUCAGCAGAGGAGGUGAGGAAUCAUUAUGGUAUCUCUGAGUGCAAGACUUCUUCAUUUGUGUCAGAUGUGACUGUUUUGGUUUGAGUUUUUUUCCACGUCUCUGGCAGCUCCUCUCUAGUUACUCACCCGAAGAAGAUGUGACUUCAUCAAAAAUAACAGGGUAAAUUAGGACAAAGUCUAUGAAAAAUGAUGUUUUAGCUUAAAAGGAAUUUUGGUUGUGGACAAAAAUCUUCAUUCUGGUCAAAAAGAAAUAAUUUUUUCACUGCAGCAGCCUUAAAAUUGAACAUCAGGUAGAUCAAAUGACUCCUGAACUCUGGAGAGAAUUAAUAGUCUUCAGCUUUAAAAAUAUGUAGAGAUAUUGUUGCAACAACUUAGGAUAUUGACUACACAUCAGAUAAUGGCUCUUGAUAAUUCUCUUCCAGAUCACUAGUAUGAAAGGGGAUUCCUAAAACAGAAAUGUCUCCAACUCCCACAAGCAGUAAUUAAGAAUCCCAAAUAAGAAGUUGGCUAAAUUUAGUGUUCACAUACAUGUGUCAUUUCCCAUUUGUAAUCAAUGAGAAACUUCUGUAUACACCUCGGGGCAAUGUUUGGCUCAUCAUAUGUAACAUUUUAACAUCAAUUUAGGAUGACUAAUGAUCAAGUCAGUAGCCGUGUAAUAUUUGUUAAUUCUUUUCUACCACUGCUUAACUUUAUAUUAUUUUUAAAUUUACAGCUGCCAUGGAAAAUGACCAGAAAUCUACUAUCUGAGAAAACCCAUCCAUCAUCUUCAGGCAAUCUUCCAAUCUGUUAACUUUAGCUGCUACUAAUAAGUGUCUCAGUCCAGGAAAAGCAAUUAUUACGAUGUUUCACAGAAUAGCUUCCAGAUAGCACAUGAUGUAAACUGCUCUUGGGCAGCAUUUCUUCUAAGGAAACGUUUUUUUUAUUUUUUUCUUCAGUAAGCAACUUUACCAAUGCAAUUGUGACAGAAGCAGAGGUAAAGAGGAUGAGCUGUUGGAAAUGGGAGUUGGCCAUAGCUACUGUGCCCAUUUACACCAUCCAAAGACUUGGAUCACGGUGCUUUGUAAAGCCUUUGUUAUGGGUUUGAUCAGCGUGCAGACUCAGUAAGGAGAGAUUGAGAUACAGUCACUAAUGUGUUACAUCUCAUAGAGCCAAAUCAGGCAACCUGGUUUGACUGCAGGUUCACCUCCAGAGAGUGAUAUCUCACCUACUAUCUAGCAUACAUAACCAGGAAUGAAAAACAAGCCAAGCUCAGUGUGUUAGCAUCUCUAUUUUGAUUCUUGCUAUUUUGAGGCCUUUAAUGAAAAUGCAACAUCAUGGCAGGCUGCUGCUUGCAGUCAGUACCCUGAUCAGUAUGCUUGCACGUGGUAGUCAUUUGCAUUUUUCUCAGUACUGUCUCCAGAGCACAGGGACAAGCUGCCAUGCCAGGGGAAGGUGCCACUGGCAAGCAUCACUGUGAAGGUGUUCACUGGCCUGGAGAGACGAGGCUUCUCCAAGGUAAUCAUGGACCAUUAUUAGGUGGCUUAGGUGGAUAUCCUGCCAGAGGAUGAACUCAGCUGAGCUCCCAGUACAGAGAGCUUCCUAUUAGAAAAGGGGAAACCAAAGCAGGAGAGGGUCAAAGGAGCAGCGCAUGGUUUAUCUAUGACUACCUUCACUGUAGCCUGAUUUCUGUAACACGGGACCUCUGUCAAGGGAUUGGGGAGGGAAAUUUGACAACUCUUCUAUGAUGACAAACAUACACUGGCAAAACUCUACUUUAUGAUCUUAUAGUCAAUGCAUUUAGGAUCAGUCAGAUAAUCAUAUGGUGGCAUCUCACUAAGCCUCUCUGAUUAGUUUGAGGGACUGGUUUGAAAGUUUCUCAUGGCUCAUUCCUGGCUGCUCUUCACAUGUCCUUUUAAGCAGAUGUUAGCUUGUGACUAGUUUUCAGUCUGCCUCUGCUAGUCUCCUUGAUCUUGAAGGCUGAUGAUAGCAGACGACAUUCAGCAUUUUUCCAGACACCCAUCUACUUCAUCAGACCGAAUGACUUGUCUUUUCAAUUCUACUUCUGUAGUGUAUUAUAAAUUGUUUUGGUGUGUUUGGAUUUCUUGUUGGGGACUUGCUUUCUAAUUCUUGAAGAAUUGGAUGCUAAGAGGAAAGCAUGAUCUAGAUUCCUUCUGAAAAUUUCAGAUUAAUGCGCUAGAUCAUUCUGCACAAUAGCUAAUCCAAACCCAUUUACUUUGUAAGCAAAAGUUUGGUCUUGAGUACCAUCAUUAAGUUGUUUGCUAGGAGAAACAAGUCCAAUGGGACCAUGACACAUGUAGAAUCUUUGUUUUGCAAUUGGUUCUUUUCAUGACUAAAUUAAUCAGACACAUAUACUAGAAGGUUAGAAACCAUAAUUUACUUGGCUUAAAAGGAGCUGUUCAGCACAUCAAGAUGUUUAUUUAAUUCAUCAAAGCUGUUUUGGCCUGCAGAAAUGCAUACAUACAAACAUAUAUAUAUUCUUAAAAUAUGUUUAAGCAUUCAGUCGUGUAUAUAUAUAUAUGUAUGUAUGUAUGUAUAUAUAUAUACGUUUCUCCUGUAUAUUUUUGAUUCAAUUUGAAAAUUAAUUUUUCCUUAUAAAUAUGUAAAAUUCCUUCUUGUAUAUGCAACCACAUACAUGUGCGUGUGCUCAUCAUCAAUAUGUUGUCCUGCCUUUAAUUAUUGAAGACUGAGAGAUGUCAGCAAACAAUUUGGUUUUGACAUCUAAGAAAAGGGUAAGAAUACAUUGCUGAAAGAUCAGCAGUUGAUUGGCCCCUUGGACAUUCUUGGCCCCUUGAACACCCUGCAAAUAAAUGCCUGAAAGGCUGAUUUUGCCAUAAGCCAUGGGAGCUGAUCAGAGUUCAGUUACAGGAAAGUCUAUAUUCUUCAUACAAUUCCUAGGUGGUUUAAAAUAUUCACCAACUUAGUUAAGUGUCCUUUGUUCUCCUGGGCAGUAGUUCUACUGUGAGAUGGAAAGUGUUAAAAUUACUUUCCCUGGGAUAGGGAUAAUGAGAGCUUCUGCCUUGCCUUUUUUUUUUUUUUUGCUUCGUGGGAAAUGUUUUUGGGCAUUAGUGAUGUAACAGGAAAUAUUUAAUGGUACCUUCUUGAUUCCUGACAGCAUUAUGCUAUCUGUAAUGAUGAGAAAGGUGAAAAUAAAAAUGACAUUUCCCAUUUGGCAGAUGUUCUGCAGCACUAACAGAAAGUCCAACAGUCAGACAAUUUCAAGAAUAAAAAUUAUUAUAGGCCCAGUGAACUGAAAAAAUGCUAUUUCUUUCUGUAUGUUUUAGGAGAAGAUUCUUUUUAAUUAAAUAGGUAAACUAAGAUAUCGAAUUUAAAGUCAUCCUUUGCCAUCAAUUCGAAACUAGAAAUCAUCACUUCUUUCCUAGAAACAUCCAUUUUCACUGAGAGUGACUCUGGCCUUUCUGGUGUCACUCUGGUAUGUUAUUUCACAGCAAUGUGCUCAGCCUCUAAAGCACAAACCAUUAAUGCGUUUAUUUCCUUUUCAUCCAGAUAUUCAUUUUCUUGUAUAAGACAGUCUUGUUCCCUAAAUCUUUCCAGACCUAUCACUUAGUUUAUGUGCACAACAGGUCUUUGACGGUUCUGUGUUUCUUCCUGAAGCAAAAAGUCAGAGGAAAUAAAAAGGAAUUCUUAUGUCUAAGUAUUUGAAAAUUACUCUGGUCUAGAUGCCACUAUAGCACAAAUGUAACAGCACAUAUUUAAAAAAAAAAUCACUAGAUUCAGAAUAUAACAUUCCAGACACAUCAUAUUGUAUUCAAAUUCAUACAACCCUUUUGUCUGAGUAAUUUACUCUCCUGAGAGGUAAGGGAAAAUGGGUGACAUUUUUUCAGUUCUGUACUUUGCAACUUAUUGAGGUCCUCAAAUUCAUGUUUCCUUACAUUCUUUCUUUGUACUCACUGUGUUUGUCAGAAGAGAUGUGUGAAUGAGAAUAUAUUUGAAAUCUGCAUUGCUUUUGGGGCUUGGUUCAAACAGGAUUAGCAGCCAUAGAAGGAUCUCACCAAAGGUUUUCAUGACUUCUAGUCACAUCAUUAAUGAAGAAGACCUUUUGAACAUUUUGGUCUUCUUCCUUCCAUGUGAAGAGAAAUAGUGAUUCUGCCUUUGAAAAACAUUUUGAAAUUGGCAGAGAUGCAGAUAUUAAUCACUGUUAUACCUGUUUACAAGCAGUGAGAAAGACUAUGUUUAACAGAAAGACCACAUUUUAUUAUAUUUACAACAAUAGAACCGGAAUAUAACCUUUUUAUUUAAAAAUCAAGCCACAGAUUAAGUUUUGAUUGCAGUAUUUUGUACUGAAAAUAAGAAUAAUGAAAGCAAUUAAGUAUUCAUAGUCCUGCUCUCACACAAACACCUUCCAUGGUGAGCCUGUUUAUGCAACCAAGUGUGCCAUACAAUUGCUUUUAUUACCUCCUUAUAAAACAGCCUGUAUAAAACACUUUUUUUUGAUUGUUUCUUUGUGUAUUGUUGAGUAUGUUUGCAUUCUAAAGGGCUUUGCCUCAUUAAAGUAAUUACCAUAAACUUGCUGUAGCUUGUUUUUUUUCCCCCUUCUCCCUCUGAGCACUGGAAAUAUCCAUAAAGAGUUCUUGCCUAGCCAGGAUGUUCUGUGUCUCCCAAGGCUAGCAGUGGGAAGCUUCAUUCUGAGGACAAAAAAACAUCUGCAGAGAUUUUCUUUAGCUGGACCAUCAAAAGCAGUGAGCAUGAGCAGUGAGGGGGUGAAUGUGGUUGAAUUCUGCUGGCUCUAGCAGGACUCCUGCUCUCCCUCUUUUUGACACAAGCACAAGAAGAGUGGAGGCUUCCAGAUACCAGUUAUUCCACAUGAGGGGAGGAAAUAAAGGAAAGGUGGAUAGGUCUGUUAUGGGAAAAGAUUUUGAUUGAUCCUUUUACGGCUUUUGUGUUUUUCAAGGGGCCAGGGCUAUUCUUCACCUCUACCCAUGGUAGUCCCUGCCCUCUGCCCACAAUUAAUCCCAUGAAAGGGACCUCUAGUUUCUCCUCAUAAUACCUUAGGUACACCUGUUCAGCUGGGGAGAUGUAACACAUGUAUAACUUCUGUCAAGGAUUUUAGCAACUUGUUUCCUACCAGUGCUGGGGGAUGAAGAGAGAGAACUCUCCAGAGUUGCACCUGGGUGAGCAUAGCUUCAAGCUGACCAGAAGCAUGGUGGAAACAAAGGCAGACCCUAUGCUGUAGGAAGGCUGAUGAAGUAGUCUCCAAUAAUUUUCCAUAACUGAGCUUAAUGAAAACUUCUUAGAAAAAUGAAGACUUGCAGGUAGAGAAAUCUGCUGAAGAUCAACAGGUAAAGGGGACAGGGAACACAGAUGGCUAGAAGUUCUCUGAAAUGAAGUCCUCAAAUCAGAAAAUGCUGAUUUGUCAAACUCAGAACUUUCAAUGGUAAGAUGGUCAUGGGUUCAAUGAGUUUCUGGUCAGAGACCUUCAUUUGCUGCCUCAGGGCAGCCAGAACUCCCUGAGUAGGAUAUUCAGAUCCAAAACAGCAGACCACAUGUAGGAUUAUAAUCUCCUUAAACAGACCCAGGAGCAUGGAAAUCAGCACCCCACAGCCAGGGUGGGUUCUGGGCUUCUGGCUCCUUCAAAAUGACAGCUUUUCCUGUUGGAGAUACUCCAAGUUGCACAGAUUCCAAGAUAAUCAUUAGGCAAGAGAAUCAAAAAACCUGAGCUGGUAGUCCAGGAAUUACAUCACCAUGCUGGGAGGAGCUGAUGGAAGUGCAGGUCUCUUCCCAGACUGACAUGUCAUUACCUGUAUAUAGUGAAACUGCUUCAGCCAGGGAAAUGAGCAAAAGCACCCCACUCUCUUCCAGCACACUGAGCUGAUCCUGGACUACUAUUCCUUUUUUUUUUUAGAAAUAUUUUUUACACAGUUAUUCAACAGAGCCUGUGACUACUAAGAGAGGGCCCUGUUUAAAAGACCUUAAUAGCAUACUAAAGUAGAACAGCAACAGGGACCAUCUUGAAACUGUGAGAUCUUUCUCUCUUCACAGAAACCAUUUUUCCUACCCAGCCCCAAAAAGGAAUAAGUCAAUGAAAGAUAAAAAAAUAUUUUAAGGCCAGGAAAGUAUAUAGCGCUACAGCACUCAGUAAAGGGGCCCUUUGUUUUCAGGAGUACACAGAAGUCACUAACAAGAGUCUCUUGAUAACUACAGAAAUCCUAAACAGAGCUGCAGGGAGAAGAAUCAGGCAUCCCUGCAGUGUGCUCAGGGACAGCCCCAGAUGAGGAAAGCCAUAAUUAUGACUGUUGUCAAUAAACAUGCAGUGCCAUACUCACAGAGGUUCCGCCCUUCAGAUUGCCAACUGAGACAGCUGGAGAUGCUAGGGCUUAUUUCUCACCACCCCACAGUCUUUUCAGUCCUUCAUUUCUGCAUAAAGGAGUUUUAAAAGUUCAGUAGUGCAAGUGGUUGCCUGACCCCUGGCUCUGCUGUCCACCAAGGUGCUGUGAUGAAAUACAUGAGGGACAGGGUCGCAUCAAAACCUGAAGGGCCUUGUUAGGAAGCCAGUAGAAACCUCCUGUAUAUGAAUGUAGGAAAAUGAACUUAUUCUUGCUUUCCUGUUUGACUCAAACUCACAUUUAACUGGAAUCUGACCAUAUUACAUUCUCUUGUAUUACCAGUAGGUUAACUCUGCUUGCAAACCAGAUAUUCCAGUGGUAACUGCAAAUGGUUACUCUGGAAAUCUAUAAUCUCCCUCCUUUCCUGGUUAGUUGUUGCUCGUGCUGCUGGCUGUAAUCCCUGGGAGGUGCUGAACACCUACCUGAAAGGUAUCAACUCCAAAUCUCUAUUCUUUAAAUAAUCCUAAACCAUAAAAUCAUGAAUAAUUCUUUUCUUUGUGAUCAUAUAACUUCUUGUAGAACACAAUUCCCUCCAAAUACCCAUGCCCGGUCUUAGUUUUCCUUAGCAUUGUUAUUUAUUGCAGAAUCUUUCAAAAUAUCUGCAUUGCUAUCAGAACUACUGUGAUUUACAUGUGGGCAACAGUAAGUCCGUCCUACAGCUUUAAAGGUCAGCCUGGCCUCUUCUUAUCUCAACACCAUCACACUGCUUCACUACAUCUAAGUCUAAAGAAGUGGCUUGUGUUUAUUUGUUGGUUGUCUCAAUGAUUUUGGAAGCUGCCAGUGACUUUCCUAAUUCAAUAAUGCUGCUACUACAGCAUUAAUUAUUCAUCAUAUCCUGAAAGCAAAAGUGGAGUGAUUUAAGAACAAAAGGAUUUAAAGAAAAAUAAACACAUGACCCACUGUGGCUGCUUUGGGGAAAGUAGUAAUAUAUGCAUGGCAAAUGCAGUAAUGAAUAGCAUCUGCUUUAUCUGUGGAAGAGCAAACAGUUGUAGACAUUGAUCAUUUCUCAAAAAGAGUGGCUUUGACCAAAAACAUGGAGGAAAGCCAUCCAGAAGCUAUUUUGUGCAAAUGAAGUACAGAUUUGUGUAUAUGAGUCGAUACACCAUUUGCUGUUUCCUUUCAUUAAAACCACAACAUUAGCACUGGAAAAUGAUUAUAAUGGUUACAGUCAAAGCCACUGCAAUGCUCAAUUCACAGAGAACCCAGUGAGUGCAGGGGAGGAAAAAAAAUCUUUCUGAUCUCACAGAAGUGUGCAUUCAUGUAAUGAAGCUCUACUGGAAGAAGCUCAGAUAUCUUUUCACAGUCUUACUAGCCUAUUGAGUAAGUUGUUCAUUGCAUCCUCAGGACCAUGCAAUGGCACAAUGUGAUUUCUCAAAGCACCCUAUUACCACUUCAGCUUCCUUGCUGUAUUGAGGCCAAAUCCUGCUCUUUGCAGGAGAAGAUACAGUGGGUCAAAGUAAUACAUGAUGUGUCUUGGCUAGCUUUAUCUUGAGGGUUAUUUUGCAGAGCUUUGCAACCCUCCCAGCAGCCACACAGCCUUGGAGCCUGCCCAGUCUUCACUCUGACCUUGUCUCAUGCCCCUAUCCAUGUACAAGCAGAUGAAUGCAUGUGAGUUGUGCAAACUAGUACUAGAGGGAAUGGCUUUGCUUUACAUCCUGGUAUGUGUCCAUGUGUGAAGGGCUUCUGCUCAGGCAUAACCGUUUGAAAUUACUGUUCAUUGUUCCGUGCCUGAGAGGGGAUCACUUGGGUGAAUUGCUCACAGGAGGAGGGAUGUAGGGUUAUGCCCCAUGAUAGUGAUGCUCAGCCUCGGAGUAGGCGACUGAGGAACUCUUCUUUUUUUCCUUGUUUAAUGUUGUCUUGUUGCUCACUGUCCUUGCUAUGAAACAUCUCCUUCCAAGAUUACACAAGCUUUCUGUGUUGAGUCAGAGCUUUUGUCUCAAAAAAAACAGAAGCAAAACCUUCACUUGCCUCCAUGGUAAUGGACAGCGAGUCCAGGCUCCACCAUGCCUACAACUGUCCAGUGAAAUCCUCCUCGAAUUGCCCUUCCAAACCAUUCCUUUUCCUGGAGGUGCUCAAGGCCAGAUCCUGCUUGCCUCUUAAAAUCAAGAAAAUCCCCUACCCAAGCCAGCAUAAUCCUUGUUGUCCUGAGCAGCAACUGCAGUACCAUAUCCCCUUGCUAACAGGGGAUCUUUCAGAUGCACAGACCUUGAUUAUACUUUCAAAGCUGCAAUGUGGGAAGAUUAUUAGCCCGUUUGUUACCCAGGUUGUCCACCUCUUCCCUCGAAAGAUGACUGUGAAGGGAAAAGGGCAAGUGAGAUUUCUUGGCAUCGCUUAAAGACCUGAGUUAAGUUGGGUGAAUGGCUGGUCCCAUGAGCAGACUCCCCUCUUGCCUCCUGCAAAUCUGCAGCCCCGCGCCUGAGCAUAGCUGGGGUUUGGCACACUAGCACUCUACCUCUGCAUUGCUGGGAGAGGCCACUGAAAAUAUACAAUCCCCAGACGGGAGCGAUUUAGUGAAAUUAAAAACAGACAGGGGGCAUUGAAACAAGGAGGUGUCAAAUGUUCCCCCUGCCCCACCAAGAUUUUGAUGUGGCUGCUAUGUAUACCUGUCUGUCUCCUCUUCACCGCCAUUUGAAAGUUUGAAAGUUAAAAUGCACAGAAGGAGUGGAAUUAGAGCAAAGUCACACACGCCUUCACAGACACACAUGCGCUUUUAAUUGUGUGUUAUUACCAGUUAAUUUCAGCUUGUCCAAAGGCAGGAAGAAAACAGCCUACAGUGGGGCUUGGGCCUCCAGAGAUAUUGUAAAACAUAACAUCCAAAGGCCUUCCUUGACUCCAUUGCUUCCUUCAGCCCGCAAAGAAUGUAUUAAUUCACAUUGUUUGAUUUUUCCAGAUGCUGCUGCUUUACCACUGUAGUCCUUCUAUUUUUUUUUUUGUUGUUGUUAGGAAAUAUAUUCUAAUGCACCAGCGAAUGAUAAGAGUGCUACCUUUUGGCAGUGAACAACCAAGAGGAAAAUUAAGAAGUCAAUAUAGCUUUUUACAGUCCCGAGUAGCUGCAUGUCUCAAACAGAAUAAGAAUGCUUUAUUUGAAUAUAUCACAAGGAUGAAGGCUUCAAGGGAAUUGCAGCAUUGCUUGGGCUCACAGGAAUUAAAGGGGGAACUAAGGAAGAUUUUUAUUAUAUAAGGUUUUGGAAAGUUAGCUAUUUUCCAUGUCCUUUUCUAGUACUAGUAAUGGUACAGAAUGUGAAACAAAGGUGUCACUGAAGUAAAGUGGUAAAUUAAAAGCAAAUGAACUAUCAUACAGCAUAAAUCUAUCACUUCAACUAGAUUUGCAUUUCCUUAUUACUGGUGGGAAUAGGAAAAAUUCUAGGAGAUAGAAGACAUAAUAUUUAAAGCAUUAGGAUUGUGCUUAGACUACCAGGAUUUAAAAAUACAGGGAUAAUUUGGAAUUUGUGGACCAGUGGGAAUCUUACCUGCACCCAUUAAAUUCAUCAAAUGGCAAGCAAAAAUAAAAUAGUAACGGGAAUAUGUGAGCAGGGAUAUAUGAGCAGAUAAGGUUUGGUGCAGAUUUUGUCGAAUCAUACCUCCCUGAUCUCACUGAAUCUUUGCUCAUGUCCACAGAAGGGUGGACGGAGGUGAACCAGACAUCCGUUUCUCUAGAUUUCCACUAAAUCUCUAACAAAAUACAUACAUGAAACUAAGGAAAAAAAGCCCCAAGGCUCAGGCAUAGGAAGCAUAGGAAGCAAGUGCUCUUUGAAGCUAGUGAAUAAACAGUUACUCACAUAGGUAUUAAAUGGCCAGCUUUUGCCAAAGUAGAAGGUUUACCACUGAGAUACUCCAUUUAUUAGGAUCAGUGUCAUUACUUACUAUACUUCUAUUACUAUAUUGGUAUUACUACUGUGUUUACUAUACAGUUGGGCAGAGUGAUGAAAAAUAUGAGGCCAGCAUGAUUUUUUUUUGCUGUGUGAAAAGAACAUUUUGAAGAUGUUCAUAUAGUUUCAAACAGAUCAAUAAUUUAAUAAAUUAAAUAAACAGGAAUAAAAUGAUAGCUGAAAUUCAGUGUUGAUAAAAUAUUUUUAUAUAUGUAUUUUUUGAUAGGAAAAACCCCAACCACCUUUAUUCAAAGACUUCUAAAUUUAAGCACUGAUUUAGAGGGGAAUCCUAGUUGGUAAUUCAUUGAGAUGCUCUGUUAAUGUGAAACUGCAGGUUAAAAUCCUUGAUGGGAUUUAAUGGGAUGAAUAAGGAGCAGGACAGCAGAAUGCUCUUACAUAAAUCACUACCACCAUUUACCCCAGCACUGCACACGUGUGUCUGGCUGUUUUGUCAGCAGAAAGAGAGUGUGUUUGGAAAUGAGCUCAGAAAUUACUCUGACUCAUUGGUGGAGAAAUUGGAAAGCUGAGAUUUGUUUCUCUUUGAAACAGAGAGAAAAAGAAAGGGACAUGAUAAAAGCAGAGAAAAUAACCAGUGUACCCUGUCAUGCACAGCAAAAAGUGGGCACUUGAUGAAAAUGAAAGGCAGCUAAGUCCAGACCACUAGCAGGCAAGUUUCCUGCUUCCAGAGGGCUCACACUGACUCUGGAUUGCUUUGCCACGCAGGCCAGGCAUUCAACAAAGUCUGAAGAAGCACUGAGCUUUCUUUUGGACAAUAAUGCUAUCUGCAGUUACAAUAAUUAAUGCCAAGAAAAAGAACACUAGAGAAAAAUAUAGGAACUCUUACUUCAAGCCAGCACUCACUGUCCUAGGGAUUAUUUUGCAAUGAGACUGUUGUCAGGGCAAAUAAUACAUCAGGUUAUUCUGAGCUCUAUCAGAUAAAGGACAGUGAACAGAUGCAUCAGAAUGGUCUACAAAGGUGAUUCCCAUCCUAUUGUCCUGCCUGAGCUAUACAUAUACAUUUUUGUGAGGCCAUCUGAUAGCAAUUGAGUGUCAGUUUUGACAGAAAUGGCUUUCUUCCUGUAUUUUGUAGUUCGUUUUCAUAAAGAAGUAAAUAACUAGGAUUUUCCAGAUGGAAUUUUGAGCAUGAUUUCUAUCUGGAGGGCUGCUGACAAAUACAUAUGCAUAUUUUUAAUUACUAUCCUCAUUUUAAAAUCAGAUUGGUUCCUUAAAUGAUGGAGAAUGGCUCAGGAAAGACAGGCAGUGCUUUAAGCCCUCUGCAUCUGGAAAAUGGUUCAGGAAAGUCGGGCAGGGCUGUAAGUCCUCUGCUUCUGUUCCCUAACUUUUUACAACACACAGGAUCCAGACAGAUAGGACACUUGGUAUCUUUUAUUUUCUUCAAAUACUCCGUAUUUAAAAUACUACUUCAGUGGUUUCUGACAACUGCUUAGGGCAAUUUUGCUUAGCCUAGCGGAAUGUCCUGGAAACUACUGGCAAUGAUUUAGCUCCCAAAAUUGGAACACAUUUAGCAGAGACAGAAAGCCUAUGAACAAAUAAUGGACAAACGCCAGAGUAAAUAAAUGUGGUUCAUGAGCUGUGGUCAGAAAUGUCUCUCUUUCAGUAUGCAGUGCAAAUCUUUUGCCAACAUUUACCAUAAAGUUAUUACACAAAGCAGUUUUUCCUCUCACUAAGACAAACUCAAUGAAAGACUGCUUCUAGUCUAGCAGCCUACCAUUAAGGCUGCGAUAGCCUGUCAUGCCACGAGGAAACCUGUGUGCAGUUGGUUCAUUUCAAGCUGCACUUUUGAUUUUGUUAGUCAGGCUUCUGUGCAAAAAAAAGAGAGCAAGCAAGAGAGAGCCUCCUCACAGUUCAACACUUCUUCAGGAGACCAUGGGGAACCACAGUGUAAAUUCUAGCCAUCUUGUCUCCCAAGCCCACCUCUUGGCCUGGCUCCACAAGUCCUUUGAAAGCACUUUUGGGGGCUGUCAUUAUGGAGAGAGGCACUGCAGGCAUCACCACCACUCAGCAGCAUCACCUUCAUUUUCAAAUGCCAUGUCAGUGGCUCCAAGAGAGGAAAGGGCAGGUGUAAAUCUGUGGCAAACUAUUGUUGAUGCUUCUUCCUGAAGCUCCUUCACCAUGUAAUGCAGGAUGAGUUUAAGUAUUUGCAUUAUGAACUCCACAGUUUUCUGGUUGUUGCGGGCCAUGGGUCUGAGUGUGUGGGACCUCUGCUCUCCUCUGCUUCUUUGGAGGAACUGACUGAUGUCAUCUUCACAAUUCUGCAGAAUAAACCACAGAAUUUGCAGAGCCUCUCUGUACCCUUACUUGACUCCAAAGCUAAGCAGCCAGAGAUGGCUGGGUUUGGCUGUUCUCCGACUGAAAAGGGCCUUCCCAGCUACCAACCUCCCAUGCAAGAACAGAAGGAAAAGUUUGGUGGAAGGGCUUGGUCACACUCAGGCAGUUUGGGGUCGAACCAACACCGGGGUGAAAUAGAUGAAGGAACCAAAACUACUUUUCUGCUCUGCGUAGUUUUCCUUGUACUAAUAGCUGAAAAUGCCGAAACAGAGACUAAAUUAGCCUCUGUGUGUUGCCUAUCAGUGUCAAGGCUCAGUUGAGUGUAUCAGCCUAGGCACGGUGCCACACAGAGCAAUUGUCAGCUCCAUUCCUUGGCACGUGAAUGAGAAAGCAUCUGGUUCAAGAAGUGAAAUCUGAAUUUUUGCUUCAAAUCUUGCCCCACCUCCCUUUCACACAUGCAGAUAUAGAACCACACUCUGCACCCCAAUAUUUAGAGAAGCAUGUGAGUUAAAGCAGAAGAGGAAUCAUAAUUGAAAUAGUUAAUGGAAAUCUUGUAGUUUGUAACUUUAUGAAAUCCUUAAUAAAUGCUGUUCUAGCAGUUUUCUGUAUUUUCACCACUGAUAGGAUUCAGGCAACCAAAGCUAAAUGAUUUCUGUAACACCAGCCAGAAGCCAAACUGAAGAUAAAGGGAUAGAAACUGUCCUGCUUUUAAAUUUUGGAAUAUUUCUGUAUAUAAAAAUAUCUAAGCCCACUCAAGUAUUCUCUAACAGGGACAGAACGAAUUUGCUCUACUGUAACCCCAUUCCUUUAAUGAACAUGCAUCAUUCUGUGCUGUGCCCGGCAGAUGUAAUAAUAGCAAUGUCUGGCAAGCUUCUGCAAGGAGCCCUGCAAUGAAAGCACCUUCCCCUCCCGCCAAGUUAAAAGAGAACAGGCUGACAUGUAUUGGAAAUGCACGGGCAAUAUAAUGAUAGCAAAUUGCUUUGAAAAAAAAGGUUCCACAGCGCAUAUUGUCAUUUCAAUCCCCGGCUCUGAGGUAGUGCUUCAGCUCCAUCCUCUGUGCCUCCCUCCAGAUCUACCCUCUCCCUCACCCCUGCCUUUGGGGAGAGCACUCCCUGCACUGUAGAUCAAAAGCAGCAUCUUCACUACAAGGGAGAAGAGAGUUCACGAGUCUGUACUGCUCCCCCAACUCAGAAAGGGGCAGCCUUUCUACCCCCUUCAUCACUCUUUUAAGAGCACAUUGGAAAAAUUCAUUCCUUUUGGUCCCUCCUGAUGAAUUCCUCUGACUGGGACAUUCCUGCUAGUGCCUGUUUCCCUGUUCAGCCCCGUCCGGGCUGUGCCAUGAGGCUUUUGUCACAACAAUGGUUCUUCUGAGAUGAUGACAGAACAUCAUCUAACACCCAGGAAAAUGGGGCUUAGCCAUUAUUUCUAGAAUAUAUUUGAGCCCUUUGGGAGAUUGCUAUUGAAAAGGCCAGGGAUGCUGAUUAUAAUUUUUUAUUCUGAUGUCUAACAAAUAUAAAGAUUGUCUGCUAUGCUGAGGAGGAGCUUAGUUUUCAAUACACUGAGUGGGCUGCCACUGUGGGUCUGGAGCUGUCAGGCAUGAAGGGGAGAUAUCAUGUUAUCUCCUCAUUUAUCCCUCUGGACACUUUUCUCAUCCACCCUCUACUUCCUUGACCCCUGGGUUGUGUUUGUGCAAUUCCAAAUGCAUUUUACAAAGUGCUGUUUUUAUUUCUGCUCAAAACUUCUCGGCUUUUUCAGCUGUGUGAAAGAAACCCAAUUGCGAAAUGGUGUAAAUCACACUCAUCCACCUUUCUGAUGUGCAAUGUGGUCAGAGUAUCUGGACAUUGUCAGGGCAUUGUAGUGCAUAUCCCAGGGUGACUUUGUUAUAAGAAAGGAGUUUAAUUUUUUCCUCUUUUGUAACCUUGUGAAAUUUCCACAUUAAAAAGCAAUCACAUCUUUCAAACCAGCAAUGAUUGUGUUUGGCAUCAUGGCUGCAAACCCCCAGUGUGCAGGGCUGAGCUUGUUUUCACUAAAAUGAAAUCAGCUUUCAAAAUAAAUGAUCUGCAACAACAUUAUAUUCCCCAAAUCUUAUAAUCCUAUUAACAGAGUUGAUUUUUUUCCUUUUUUUUUUCUUCUUUUUUUUUCUCAUUGCCACUAGACUGACAAGAAUGGCUCUGUUUCAAGGGGUAGAAACAGAAAGUCAGUUGAGGAUGUAGCCAAGACAUGCACUGCAAGCCGAGGUCCGGUCCUGCCAGGGCCUGUGGUUAGAAGCUCUUAACAACUAUUGUAAGCCCUUAAAUACAAUCAUCUGUAUUUCACCUCCACCUAAUGUACUUCAUGUGUAGCAUGUUUAUCUGUUCGCGCAGUCUUUCAAGAGACUCAACAAACAGCCCUGUUUGCAGAAGCGAGAGGGGAAUGGGUUGCCUCAACUCUCCCAAUGAAUGAAGCUUCUAUCAAAAAUGACACGGCAGUGCCAAUGUGGUGAAGGGAAAUGUCUCCAAAUUAGCCUGGGCAAAAAUCUCUUUGCCAGAAGUGGAAAUUACGUAGUAAUAUCAAAAGGCAACUUUACUUAUAUAUAAUUCCAGGUUUCUCUGCAAGUAUUUUUUUUGGAAGAAAGUCAGAGGGACUCAAUAUUGUGCAGCUUUUGCUGGUCUUGCCCUCCAUGCCCUUCCAGUGGAGGGAUCCAGGGCCCACUGCUCUUGCAGGCACAGUGCACCUUGAAGUCACUUUACUGUCUUAAACCCUGACUAAAAAGGUGCAAUAAUUGGCCCAGGAGGGAGAAACUCUCGUGAUCAUGGCAGAAAUUUUUUCAUUUCCUUUUGGAGGCAGGAGGAAACACCCAGAAAGUGCUGAGACCAUACAGAAGGAGCAUGGGAGGGUCACUAUCCUGCUGCAAUGCUUCUGUGAUGAUGUCUUUUCGGGGGUUGCACCUGCUGAAAAACUGGGUGCAGCCUGCAAACCCCACAUUUCUGAGGGGUCACAGCUCCCAGGGGCAUGGUGGGCCAGCAGCCUCUGUAGGCUGCCAAGCGUUAGGGUGCAGCAUUUGCAAUGAAAAUGUGUCAGGCUCCUCCAGCUGCUCUUUGGAUGCCCAGCAAAGCCUGGAGAGCAACCUGGGGUGUGUAUGCAAGCAUGCAUGGGACCACCAAAGUUCAGACACCCCCUAGACACCUUUUGCUGCAAUAAAACACUGACUGGGGAAUGUAAACCCGGCCUUUAUUUUUUACAUUCUCCUUUUAUUAGUUCAGUAGGACAACAGUGGUCUCCUGAUGCUAGCAGGGCCCUGCAGCUGCAGGAGAGCAGGUCUCAGCACAGUAGCCUCCAGUCAGAAGCUGCGGUUGUGAUUUCAGCUGCCGGCGGCCCGAGCACUGCUGCUCCCUCCCUUGUUUACUAAAUGGCUUUGUGACAGCUUUAUGUGAAAUUCAAAACUAUAAAGUAAAAACAUUAGAUUAUAAAGUCAAGAGGCACAGUCCUCUCUCUUAAAAUGCAACACCUGCUUCUCAUCUCCUUGCCUCUUGCUAAUGCUGCCAGCUGAAAAGUAUUUUUGACAAACUGUGAUUAAUAAAUCACAUCAGGUCAAAUCUGCUGCCACUGAAAGCCAGGAGAGCUGUGCUGCUGAUGAUGUUGGGAGACCUUCAAUCAGGAUUGCAGACUUAGUUUUUUAAAAACCAGUGCUGAGAUCCCUGGAGUAAUAAGCUUGGCUUAAAAAUCAGAUUUUUAGGUCUAGGAAACAGGGACUUUAUUUUAUCUGACUUCUGAUUUUUAAGCCUCUAGAAGAUUAUAUGGGUGAGCUUUGCUGUGUAACCAGGAAGAUCUGAGGCUUCAAAAAGUAAACAAAGGAAAGCUGAUAUUCUGUCAGAUCACUUCUGCCAGGAGCUGGCAUCUCUGAGGGGCAGAAUAUCCCAAGAUUUGUGACAAAAUCUUCAGGAUUACAGCCUAAGCCCAUAGUCCAGUCAAAACAUUCACAUCUAGCUGCAAUUUGGAAAAUAUAUGAGCUCCUUAGGAACUGUGUGCAACUUCCUGGCCCUGCGGAUGUAAAUGGGAUCUGGUAUGUAAAAUUGCUGUUUGGGCAAGUAAUUUCAGGACCAGACUCAAAAAGUAUUACAGUCUCUUCCACUAUUAUGGUUUUAAUAACUGCAUGUUCCAUGUGAAUGGUUGUUGGGAUGUUGUUAGUCUUCCGGUUACAAAUAAACAUACAUGUUGAAGACAGAGCCAAACUGCAUCUGUUCACUAUAUUCAUUAAAUGCUCCUCAGGUGUAAGACUAGAUACUGAAAUUAAUUACAUGAAUAAGGUACAGGUUUGCCUACAGUUUCUCCAGUGUGCUCUGCUUAGGCAUGGAUUCUUCUCUGACUUAAUCUUUUAUUAAAAUAUGAAGGUAGAAUUGACAAGCAUUCAUAGGCAUCUCAACAAAUGUGCUGUGGACUUGGUGGCAUUCUGUGGGCUUGUCUGCGUUCCACUUACAGAUCUCUUGGUGAGAUCACAGUACAGAUUUGUUCAGAAAUUACAUCUAGACAGUGCCCGUUGCACAGUUUCUUUUGUUUUUACAAAAGAAAUUAUUUAAGAGGUUGUUUAGUUUGAAGUACUGAAAGAGUUCUUAAUUCCAGUAAUAUCAUUACAAACACCUAACACUGUGUACAAAAUAGAGCAGAUCCGUCCUCUGGCUUUGCCCUCCUUUUCAGGGGGUUCAGACCACUUGAAAUCUGAAUCUGCUAAACACUGCCUCACUUCCCCAAGUACUCUCCUCAUCUUAAUGCUGGAGGGGGCAGAGUGAGUGCAGACUGCUACGUGCAGAAUUAAGUAUUUGGAUAAAUAUCUUGCUGAACUGGAAACUUUCUGGGAAGGGCUGGAUGUGAGCACUGAAGUGUGAUGCCGAUGGAGGGAUUGUAUAAUUCUUUUCUUUUCAGAGCUCUUCGCCAUCCAAGACAAAUGUUGUAAUAACAAACAACAUAGGCAGGCAACGAUUUGGGAAGAAAUAUAGGUGAGAUUUGCACAGGAGCAAGGGAGAUUGAGGUGCACGAGUCUCACUUUUUAUUUGGGAUUGGGUAAACUCAGAUUCUUAAGCAGGUAUGAUAAUGUCAGUGUAUAUGCUAAUUCCUACCUAUCAAGAUUUUACCAUAAACAGUGGUAGAAAAAAGUACUGGAAUAAUUAUGAAAAAUAUACUGACAUUUUCCUUUUAAGAAAUUUCAGCUUUUUUUUUUUCCUGAAGAAACAGUUUUCUAAGGCAAUUUACUCAGACAAUAAUAGAAGUGUAUUUAUGUAGCUGAAAAGAUUAGUAACUCUCUUGAGAGAAAACAACAGAUUCCAUCUACCCAUCGGGGAACUACCGCAACUCACAGCUGCAGAGCAAAAGAAUAAGAUCCACCAGAGCUUGUGCCAAGAGGAGCCAUCCUGUACCCACCUCACUGGACUGUCCUUUGCUGGCAGCCCCUCUGCAAACCUUGACUGCUGUGCAUAUGAGCCUAGAAGUCUAACUGCUGGUAUUUGCACUGCAGAAGUGUUCAGUCAGCACAGCAUAAACUUAUAAAGUGCUCUCCAAACAGGCAGAGGGCUUGAUGAAGUUUCCUCUCCAGUUGUUCCAAAGCCCCAGCCAAAAAUCUCAGUGGGAUUUCCCGGAGGAAUUGCAGAUCAAGCACAGCAGAGCUGCAGCCAAACACCAAGGCUGGAGGUUUGUAUAUUUGCUGUUUUCUUCCCUAGACUCCUGUGGCAGACCCCAUUUGCUGUGGGUGAGCUGAGACCAUCACUAGCCCUGCUUGGCCACUCUCAUCUUUGCAGUAUCUCAUCACCCCACUUUCCUCUGUCAGCUCUCUCACUACAGCCUUACCAUCUUUCCUUGUUUGAAAAGGAUCUGCUAAAGGGUAUUUUUUUAAAGGCUCAGAGCCUAGAGCCAUUUAAUUACAUGAUAAUCUCAGCUUUUGUUUAAAAAGAAAUGCACUAAGCUCUCAUGAUGGUGUGGAGAAGAUGGUACAUUUGAAUCUUUGGGGUUUGCAGAAGGCAAAUAAAAAUACCUAGCAAUAUAUAUAUAUUUAAUUUUAUGGUUUGGAGGUGGAAGACUAGUGUUUUACAGUAUUGCAAGAUUGGCAAUAGUGUACUUGGCUCCCAACAGGACUGACUUUUCUUCUCUUGGCCCUUGUUUAUUUCUGCAGCCUGAUGUGCUUGUGGCUUGGCAAAUAAAUCUCUCUGGACCAUUGUAAUACUUUAUUGGUGCAUAUACAACUGUUGGGACAACAGCUGUAAACCAGAAGUGAAUUCUUAUUUUCUUUUUGUUCAUACUUUGGCAUAGUAGAUGUUAUAACCUUGGUAUUUUCUGAAAAGGCCACAAAAAGUCUUACAUUUCCUGGUAUGAAAAAUAUGGGUAGAGAAAACAAAUACCUCCAAUCAAUGGCUUUUUAACCUAAUGGCCCUUUCUAGGAUGGAUGCCUUUAAUACCUUUUUGUGCUUGCAAGGCCACAUAUUUCUUUCUGAAUCUUACUCUAAAUGCAGGGGUCAUAUUAGGCCAAAUAUGAUUGUCCUCAGCUAGAUUUUAUCUGCUUUCUGUGGUAGGAGAACAGGCUUCCAAGAGCUCUGCCUGGAGAGCUCACUAUCUUUCUUCAGCUUUCUCAGCUUACCAGGCUGUGGUUUUCUUUUCUCCUUCUGUUUACAACACAUGAUAUGCUUUUAGAUGAUAAUAAAAGUCAGUUUUUCAUUACCAAGCACAUGCAAAAUACCAAAGAGCAUGCAAAGGUGCCAAGGAGGGAGAGAGACUAGUGCUGUGUGCCUCACAUGGGCUUCACACUCAAGAAUGAUAUUGGGAUUCCUUCAGAGGUUUUUACAUGUCACAUUUCCACCCUACAUCUUUAAUGAGAGGGUUGCCCAUGACUCUUUCCCUGUUUGUUGUUGUCGUUUCUGGUUUUAUAGAUGUCAAGGUAUCAGUACAGAGCAGCUUGCUGGAAUACAAGGUCUUUCUUACGUUUUUGUCCCACUGCAUAAAUUGUUGCACUUCAAAUAAAUCCUUUGGUGUCAAGGUACGCUAUGAUGGGAUCAUGAAGUGUUUAAAUGAUCUAAAGGCCCUUACCCUGCAGUAGUAAAGGUAGGUGCCUGUUGUAAUUUGUCAUAAAUAUUUGAGGUGAGGUCAGCAGUGACCAAACUUCAUCAACCACAGGCACAUAAACAUGAAAAAAACCCCAAACAACCAAAAGUAACACUGCAUAAAAUGAUGGGUAUCUUCUGACGAAAACAUGAUAGACUCAGCUGCAGAGAAGACAGCUUAGUUAGAGAUUUAGAUUAGAAUUCCUUGUUCUGCUUUGCAUGCAUGUGCAGUUUUUGCUUUACCUAUUAAAAUACCUUUAUAUCGGACCAUGAGUUUCCUCACUUUUACCCUUCUGAUCCUGUUCCCCAUCCCCCUGAGGGGGAGUGAGUGAGCAGCCGUGUGGGGCUUAGUUGCUGUUAAACCACAACACACUCCUUCGCUAUGUUGGCAGUCUUGUUCUGUACAUUUCUCCUGCUACUGAUUUUUUCCUGAGCACGGAGUGCUGUAGAGACACAGCUCUGGUCGUGAAGCAGCAGUCCUGGAGGGAAUGAAGGAUAUCUGUGAGGGUGACACUUGCCUCUAAGGGAGUUGUGAUUUAUGGAGACACACUCCUUUUCUGCCGGAAUGGUGGGAGGAAAGCAGACCCCAGAGCUGCUGGAAAACAUUCUGAGAAUCUCAGUAAGUGGUUUCUUGGCCUCCGUGUGGGCUUCUUUUUUUCCUCUUUAAAGGUACAAUUUAACACUUUAACUAUGAAUUGCUUCGUUCAGGAAUUUCUGACUUAUGCCUUAAACAUUGAUGGCACUUAAUAAAUAAAAUGCUGCCUCUCUUCUCCUCUGCUCUCCACUUUUUUUCCCCCCCUCUCUUCUUGUUGACUGCUCUCAGUUCAGCUGCAGAACUCAUAUACCUUUGCUCCAGGUAACCUCUGAUCACCUCUCAGUCUUCCUCUGUAAUAACUUCUCCCUUUGAGUUCUUUGUUUUCAGUGCAAAAAUCUGUUUUAUGUGGAAAGCAACAGGACAAAAGCAGGACAACUGGAAGGAAGGUAAAACAGAAAAGGCAUGGGAUCAGCUGUCUUGGCUUUUCUCCAGUACUUAUUUAUUAAAAGCCUUCGUAUUUAAAAUGUAGAAGAACACACCACCUCCUGCACCAGAUAACCUAAGACUGCUGAAACGGUAGUUGAUAAAGCUGGUUUAAAUUUUGUACGAAGUAUGCUUAAUUUUGAAUAUGUUCAUUAAUUUUAGAUGGAACUUCUUUUCAUUUAACAUUUAACUGCUUGUCUGUUGUUACUACUUCAUUAAGAAAUUAACUGAGAUCUGACACUGAGUACAUAAGGAGGUCUCUGUCCCAAAGAGCUUCACCUCUAGAUACACGAGACAGCACCAGACGGCAAAGGAAACAGAGAAAUAAAUAGAUGCAGGAUUUUGUCCUAGGACAAAUGGCAGGACAGUAGCAGUGAUGUGAUGAGGAACUGAGUCUCUUAGCACCUAAAUCAACACCCAUUUCACUGGGCUACAGUAAUAACAGCAGUGAGUCUAACAAGGAGGUAAUUUUGGUAUUCAUAGCAAGAUUAACCAACACACCAUGUCCAGCAGAGACAACUCAGAAUUCAUAUACACAAAGGGCACAUUUGUAACAAAUUCACUGAAUCCUUUUAACCUUUUUUCCAUUUGUGUCUGAAUAAUAACACUUGGAAAUAUGCAAAACUAGGGCUUAACAAGCUAGAAGAUUUAGAUUAUGGAUGUUACUGUGCUCUUUCAAUUUCAUUAAAUAGCAGGCAAGGUAAUUAUCAGUCAUGGAGUUUCCCCUCCUCAGAGACAAACCAAAGGGGCACAAUUAUGCCUGCAAAACCCAAGAGGAAAAAAGAAACAUGCCAUCUUUAAAAAAUGUAAUAAAAGCACAGCACAGGUGGCCUGUUCCAAAAGGAUCACCAGGCCAUGCAGCUCUGCAGAAGAUAAGCAGCGACUCCACGGGGACAUGAAUGAGUCUUAAUGUUCAGAGACAAGAGAGAGCAAAACUUAACUCUUGAAUGUGUCAGAGGGGAAAAUGACUACUUCCACACCAUCCCCCUCUUUUGCAGGUGAGGCAGAGAAGGACAGCAGAUUGCUCACUGGCCUGGAUUGCAGAAGAGCUGGAGUUCAUUUUCAGCUUGGACAAGUCUAGUAGCUGUAUCCUCUGUCAAGACUUUGAAUGCUUUAUGUGGGAAAGCUGUACCGGGUGUACAGACUCCUGUUUGUAAGAUCUGGUUUUGUCCAGGAAAAACUUGGAGCAAAACUUCAUUUUCAAACAGCUACCAUCUGACUGAAUUGCUUCUCUCUUAGUGGUAAGGGUUGCUUUCUGGAUCAAAAGAUGCAUUUCAAAAUAAAGCCUGGGUUAUUUUCUUUUUUGGGGGGGCACAACUAAAACUUUAGAACAUUUCCAGAUGACCACUGUAUGAACAAUACUGUAAAGAAACCAGCAGAUUUUGUAUGUGAAGUUUCAAAGAGCCUCUUCACAAAGGAGAGCCAUCACAGUUUGCCUGUAAGGAAAUUGGAGGAGCAGGGCAUAACCACCUACCCUUGAAUGUGGCUCCAUUUUGUAUGUCUUUUGCCUUUUCUUCUGGCAGGUCAUUGGUCAUGUUGACAAAAGUAUUCAAUGUGAAGGAAUCCAACAAGAUUUCCAAAUCAUA